rnacentral:tRNA from 1 species
UCUGCGAUAGCUCAGUUGGUAGAGCAACUGGCUGUUAACCAGUAGGUCGCCGGUUCGAGUCCGGCUCGCAGAGCCA